rnacentral:rRNA from 1 species
CCUACGGGAGGCAGCAGUGAGGAAUAUUGGUCAAUGGGCGCGAGCCUGAACCAGCCAAGUAGCGUGAAGGAUGACUGCCCUACGGGUUGUAAACUUCUUUUAUAAAGGAAUAAAGUGAGGCACGUGUGCUUUUCUGUAUGUACUUUAUGAAUAAGGAUCGGCUAACUCCGUGCCAGCAGCCGCGGUAAUACGGAGGAUCCGAGCGUUAUCCGGAUUUAUUGGGUUUAAAGGGAGCGUAGAUGGGUUGUUAAGUCAGUUGUGAAAGUUUGCGGCUUAACCGUAAAAUUGCAAUUGAUACUGGUGGUCUUGAGAGCAGUUGAGGUAGGCGGAAUUCGUGGUGUAGCGGUGAAAUGCUUAGAUAUCAUGAAGAACUCCGAUUGCGAAGGCAGCUUACUAAUCUACCACUGACGUUGAGGCUCGAAAGUGUGGGGAGCAAACAGGAUUAGAUACCCCAGUAGUC